GGAGGGAUGGCCGAGCGGUCGAAGGCGGCGGUCUUGAAAACCGCAGGCGCGCAAGCGCCCGGGGGUUCGAAUCCCUCUCCCUCCGCCA
rnacentral:tRNA from 1 species